UACUCCAACCCAUGUGACUUACCAUUGUUGCCUCGGCAGAACCUACCCGGUACCUACCCUGUAACGACCUACCCUGUAGCGAGUUACCUGGGAACGGCCUACCCUGUAGUGCGCUGCCGGUGGACCUCUUAACUCUUGUUAUUUUAUAGUAAUCUGAGCGUCUUAUUUUAAUAAGCAAAACUUUCAACAACGGAUCUCUUGGUUCUGGCAUCGAUGAAGAACGCAGCGAAAUGCGAUACGUAAUGUGAAUUGCAGAAUUCAGUGAAUCAUCGAAUCUUUGAACGCACAUUGCGCCCAUUAGUAUUCUAGUGGGCAUGCCUGUUCGAGCGUCAUUUCAACCCUUAAGCCUAGCUUAGUAUUGGGAGCCUACUGUAUUGUAGCUCCCCAAAUCCAACGGCGGAUCUGUGGUAUCCUCUGAGCGUAGUAAUUUUUAUCUCGCUUUUGUCAGGUACUGCAGCUCUCAGCCGCUAAACCCCCCAAUUUUUAAUGGUUGACCUCGGAUCAGGUAGGAAUACCCGCUGAACUUAAGCAUAUCAAUAG
rnacentral:rRNA from 1 species